rnacentral:rRNA from 1 species
GGGGGGAAUAUUGCACAAUGGGGGAAACCCUGAUGCAGCGACGCCGCGUGAGUGAAGAAGUAUUUCGGUACGUAAAGCUCUAUCAGCAAGGAAGAAAAUGACGGUACUUGACUAAGAAGCCCCGGCUAACUACGUGCCAGCAGCCGCGGUAAUACGUAGGGGGCAAGCGUUAUCCGGAUUUACUGGGUGUAAAGGGAGCGUAGACGGUAUGGUAAGUCAGAUGUGAAAGCCCGGGGCUCAACCCCGGGACUGCAUUUGAAACUAUCAGACUAGAGUGCAGGAGAGGUAAGUGGAAUUCCUAGUGUAGCGGUGAAAUGCGUAGAUAUUAGGAGGAACACCAGUGGCGAAGGCGGCUUACUGGACUGUAACUGACGUUGAGGCUCGAAAGCGUGGGGAGCAAACAGGAUUAGAAACCCCAGUAGUCC